CAAUAGCGUAUAUUAAAGUUGUUGCAGUUAAAAAGCUCGUAGUUGGACCUUGGACCUGGACAGGCGGUCCGCCUCACGGCGUGUACUGUCUUGCUGGGUCUUUCCUCUUGGUGAUCUGUUGUUUCGGCAGCAGGGAACCAGGACUUUUACUUUGAAAAAAUUAGAGUGUUCAAAGCAGGCUCGACGCCGGGAUAUAUUAGCAUGGAAUAAUAAAAUAGGACGUGCGGUUCUAUUUUGUUGGUUUUUGGAAUCGCCGUAAUGAUUAAUAGGGACAGUCGGGGGCAUUAGUACUCACAUGCUAGAGGUGAAAUUCUUGGAUUUUGUGAAGACUAACUUCUGCGAAAGCAUUUGCCAAGGAUGUUUUCAUUAA
rnacentral:rRNA from 1 species